rnacentral:rRNA from 1 species
UGGGGAAUAUUGCACAAUGGGCGCAAGCCUGAUGCAGCCAUGCCGCGUGUGUGAAGAAGGCCUUCGGGUUGUAAAGCACUUUCAGCGAGGAGGAAGGUGGUGAGCUUAAUACGCUCAUCAAUUGACGUUACUCGCAGAAGAAGCACCGGCUAACUCCGUGCCAGCAGCCGCGGUAAUACGGAGGGUGCAAGCGUUAAUCGGAAUUACUGGGCGUAAAGCGCACGCAGGCGGUUUGUUAAGUCAGAUGUGAAAUCCCCGGGCUCAACCUGGGAACUGCAUUUGAAACUGGCAAGCUAGAGUCUCGUAGAGGGGGGUAGAAUUCCAGGUGUAGCGGUGAAAUGCGUAGAGAUCUGGAGGAAUACCGGUGGCGAAGGCGGCCCCCUGGACGAAGACUGACGCUCAGGUGCGAAAGCGUGGGGCAGCAAACAGGAUUAGAUACCCUGGUAGUCCACGCUGUAAACGAUGUCGAUUUGGAGGUUGUGCCCUUGAGGCGUGGCUUCCGGAGCUAACGCGUUAAAGUCGACCGCCU